GAAAGAGAUUAGCCCAUCACCGAAGCCCAUCCGCUCAUGUGGAUAAGGCCAUGUGGUGUUCAGUCAUUGACCUGGGGACAGUUGUUUACUCGAAGUCCAACUCCGAUUUUGGCUUUGGAUUUGUUCCGUAGAGGGUGAAAGGCCCGUACGARUAAACACUUACGGUAUCAAGCUGUUUCCUAAUGGUCAGUGACAUGGAGUCGGAUUGCUUGAGAAUGCAGUCCAAAGUGGGUGGUAAACUCCAUCCAAGGCUAGAUACUGGCACGAGUCUCG
rnacentral:rRNA from 1 species